UACGUAGGGGGCGAGCGUUGUCCGGAAUCAUUGGGCGUAAAGAGCGUGUAGGCGGCUUGGCAAGUCUGACGUGAAAGCCCGCGGCUCAACCGCGGAUUGUCGUUGGAAACUGCCUCGCUAGAGUCCGGAAGAGGAGAGCGGAAUUCCUGGUGUAGCGGUGGAAUGCGCAGAUAUCAGGAAGAACACCCGUGGCGAAGGCGGCUCUCUGGAACGGUACUGACGCUGAGACGCGAAAGCGUGGGGAGCGAACAGG
rnacentral:rRNA from 1 species